rnacentral:misc_RNA from 1 species
GUCAACCCUCACCCUUGGGCCUCACCUCCCUCGGCGUGGAUUUGGACGCUGCCGUAGUUGGCUCGUCUUGAAAUGCAUUAGCCUCGCGUCAUUGGCCUCCGGCGAUCCGACGGUGUGAUAGUCUAUCUACAUCGUCAGCGUCGUGCCCUGUGCGGCUCAUAAUCGUCCUUUGUGGACAGCUUUCUUAGU